GAAUAUUUUUAACUGACAAAAGGGUGAAGAAACCAACAACUUCAGUAUUAUCAUUGCAAAAUUUAAAUACUGGACGAAAUCGGCUUUUUUUAAUGCAUAUUCAAAUCACGUAGCUGAAACAUUCAUAAUAAUACUAUAUAAGUUUGAAGUACUAGAACCAAUGUAAAUACUGAAACCAAAUCGAGGAGUGAAGAAUGUGUAUAUCAACCAUCCACAGUCCAAUGCACAGCCGUAAAGAACAGAUGCAAUUAUCGUUUAAAUGCAUAUUAACAUAAAAACUUUAAAUAUGUGUGUGCGCGCGCCUACCGAACCUGUUUUCAGAUACGGGUAUUUGAGACACAAAAGCAAUUUUCAAAGAGCUGGUAUGGAUUUAUUGUUCGGUCUUUCACUGGUUUUAAUGUUAAUUGGAUUUGCACGCGGCGACUGCGAUAGGAAUGUCGGCCCCGCGGGUACAAAUAAAUGCGUUCUGCUUGAACCUUACUACAGCAAGUACCAGUGGGCAACGUGUCUUACUGACCAGUAUAUUAGGACUUACUCAGCGGGGAACCACGGGUGUAGAUUUUCUUCGACAUACUGUUGGUAUCAGUGUAUGAUAGAAGUACAUAGUCUUGCCGAAGGUAAACUGUUUAUUUAGGAUAAAAACCUUGUUAAACAGUCCGUGAAACUACAUGUUCGUUUAAGAAAGUAUGGAAGCAUUGACGAAGCCCAAAAAAACAAAAACAAAUACACGUGGACAGCUCGACAUACUUAAUAUUGCAUGCGAACAUAUUGACUACUGUAAAUUACGGAAUAUAACUCGAUUCUACAUUUGAUUGGUUAAUUAGAACUGGCUGCCAUUAUGUUCUGUCAUAUUAAAAAUAAACAUCAUUGAAAUUAGCUAAACUGGGUGCAUUUCCAAAUGGUACAUCGUUUAUUCAGAGUUUUUCCCUGUUUGUGAAUGUCCAAAAUCGGAAAAAAAAACCCAAAAAAUUUUGUGCAAGAAUAGAGAAUAAGUAAUUUACUUUCAACAUUUAUGAAAGUAAUGCUGUUUUCUAGACAAUAAUUUCAAUAUGCUUUACCCUAGGAUCCGUAUAUGACGACUGCGCAUGCGGAGCAGACGCCCCACGAAAUGUUACAACACAGCCGACCGUUGUGACGUCAUCCAUUCCGGAUUGGUGUUUCAGUCCAUCUGGAACAGAAUGCAGCUGGUACAGGGAUUGUCUCGAGAAACGGUAUCCAUGUAAGGAAAAGGGGAACUCUUAUGCCCUGGAUUAUGCAGAGAAGUUUUGCAAGCUUUAUCAAGACCAUUAUCUUAUUCAGAAUUUGAUGACAUAGGACAGAAAUGGAUCGAUGGUGUCAGAAAAUGCCUACAAGUUAAACUUGUGCCCAUGCUUAGACCAUUUGUAAAGGCGACGUGCGAAGGAAUCAAACAAACUGCAUUCGAUUCUCAUUCUGGUUGUUACCUCCACCCUGAUGAAGGCAAUCCUUCUAUUUGUGACAUAGGUUUCGCAAACUGGGCACGAGUAUUUUGGACUGUUAAAAGCGCAGUCAUUCAAGAUGCCAGAGCGACCUUCAAACAGAUGUUAGAUGUUGUACAGGCGUGUGGUUCUGAACAACUGAACAAUGGGAUGAAGCUUAUAAAACUGAAAUUGAAGCAAACGACAGAUAAAAAACAAAGAAUUUUAGAUGAAAUUGCAGAAAAAGUUUCAGAUUUGAUAUCAGAAAAAAUGAACUGGUUUAAAAGAGGGAUUAUGCAUUUCGGAUACCAAGCGCAAGACAGACCAAAUCGUAAGAAACGUGCCUCUGACAACGACACUGAUAUUGACAACCUGUACAUCAACAUACUGAUAGCUUCAUGAUCGGAAUUUGAUCUGAACGCCAAAAACAUCUCUUCCGCAAACGUAUCAGCUGAGGCAAUUGACGUUGCAAAAGCGAUAGAAAACGGUGAUGUGCGAGUCCAGAUGGAAGAUGGAUUGCAAUUUACGGAACUGAGUGUCUGCUCUAACUACAACUGCACUGAAACCUCUCUACAAGUUACACCAGCUCCACCGGAGGAGAAAGAAGAAGAUGGUGGUAAUCAUGUAACCACCGUUAUCAUUAUUGUAGUUGGGGCUAUAUUUGGUCUAGCCCUAGUGGUAGUAGCUGUAAUUGUGAUGCGAAAAAAGUGCUAAAGUGAUAUUAUUUCUCCCAUAUUUAAGAACGGUUUAGAACGCUGUCUGUGUCAGGAAAACAAUAACAAAUAUGAAUAACAGUAUUACAUCUUGUAUUUUCCAGCUGAAUUAGGAAGAAGCUAAAGCAAUACCAGUUUUCAAAUUCGGUGAUAAAAAAAUGAGGCUAAAGAAUUGCUAAAGAAACCUCAAUGUUAUCCCUCAGCUGAGCUUUAUAGAGCACUAUUAUCUUUCCUUGAUAGAUGUUAAUACCACACGGCAGUACUAGUUUUCUAAAACAUUAAAUAAUAUGGCACCAAGAUCUAGAUCUAUUUUGGAAUGGUUGACUGUUUUAAACAAUCAAAUAUACAAUUUGAGAUCAAGUUCACGUAAAGACAUUGCAUUAUACAAGACCUAACACAAACUAUCUACAAACCAGUUUUCUUAUAAAAGCAUAAAAGUUUGCAAUAAUAUACCUAUAACUAUUUGCAACGUAAAUUGCCUUAAAUGCUUUAAAGAAACGUAAAAAGAUAUAUCUUGGUACUAUUGUACAGAAAAAGUGACGGUUCCUUUUUAACAUCAGUAGAAUUAAUUUGUUGCACAAUAUAUUUUACUUUUUUUCUGUUUUGUUUGAAAUACGAAUGUAUGUUGUCAGUUGUAUGAAUGAGCCAUCAUUUGAUAUCAUGUGUAAAUGGUAAUAAAAUUCGUCAACAUUAAAUCCCCCCUAUUGGAUGUACGCACGUAUUGAGUCUACUAUAUACUGACUAAAAGAUUAGGUUUAGGUUUAACAUAUGUUUAAUAGUGUACAUUCAAUGCACGUGUAAAUUGUGUUACCUGUUUCAGUGGCUAUAGAUAUUUCAUUUUUGAUGGUACAUGUAAGUUGUUUGUUUUUUUUAUUUUAAUUUCAGUAGGCAACAUUAGAAAUAAGAUGUCUAUAAUUGCUUGUACAUUUCUUAAUGUGUUAAGGUAUUGUUAUUAUUUCUAUUAUUAUUAUUAUUAUUAUUAUUAUUAUUAUCAUUAUCAUUACAGUUAAGAAAAAUGAGAAAGUUUCUGAGUGUGCGUUUAUAAUUACAGAAUCUACCUGUACGUAGUGCGGGUGUGUUUCAGGACUCGAACUUGACCUUCUACAGACGUCUCGUGGAAUAUUUUAUAUUGUGAAGACAUUUUCAAAGAUUUUGCCUGAUGACAAUAUAACAGGUUAUUAUCAAGUCGGCUGGUGGUCCGUGUUUUCCUGGACGCAGUAAAUGUAUCUGCCAAUGGACGUUUAAAAACUGUGUCCAAACGCUUUCAGAAGAUGUGUAUAUGCUGUGUCAUUACAUAUACACGUAGGCCCUUGAUCAGCUUUUGUCUGUCUGGUACAUAGGGCCAUGUAUAAUCUGGACCAUAAAUGGACGAUAUUGGCCAUGUUUUAAAAGGUCUGAUUCACAUACUUUAAUGUGUUUCUAUUCUGAAUUACUUAUUACUGAAUGUAGGAAUUUAGAUUUGUUUUUGUAAUUUAAUACAGUCAGGAUGAUGUAUAUAGACAUUGAAAAAGGACUCUUGAUAUUAAAGGUAUAAAAUUGAUACUGUUAUGUAAUAAGGGCAUCAUGCAACUAUUAAUCAGAGGUAGUUUUAAUCAAAAUGUUAAGGUGUGAUAAUUUUUUCCUAUACGAUCGUUUGUUUAAUAUUUUUGUUAGAUAUGUCCUUGAAACAUGUGUUUAUCUCAAAGAUAUGACGCAAGGCAAGAUAGUAUACAGUGUUUUUCUUUAGUUGAUAGAGUAAACUUGAUUUUGUUAGA